rnacentral:rRNA from 1 species
CUACGGGGGGCAGCAGUGGGGAAUAUUGCGCAAUGGGCGAAAGCCUGACGCAGCCACGCCGCGUGUGUGAUGAAGGCCUUCGGGUUGUAAAGCACUGUCGGGAGGGAAGAAGGCACUUCGGUGCUUGACGGUACCUCGCAAGAAAGCGCCGGCUAACUCCGUGCCAGCAGCCGCGGUAAUACGGAGGGCGCAAGCGUUGCUCGGAAUUACUGGGCGUAAAGCGCACGCAGGCGGCUGAUCAAGUCGGGUGUGAAAUCCCCGGGCUCAACCUGGGAACUGCACUCGAAACUGAUCGGCUCGAGUACGUGAGAGGGAAGCGGAAUUCCUGGUGUAGAGGUGACAUUCGUAGAUAUCAGGAGGAACACCGGUGGCGAAAGCGGCUUCCUGGCGCGUCACUGACGCUGAUGUGCGAAAGCGUGGGGAGCAAACAGGAUUAGAUACCCCAGUAGUC